UCCGCUGUCGUCUAGUGGUUAAGAUAUCUGGCUUUCACCCAGGACACCUGGGUUCGAUUCCCGCCAACGAAA
rnacentral:tRNA from 1 species